rnacentral:rRNA from 1 species
UUAAGCGACUAAGCGUACACGGUGGAUGCCCUGGCAGUCAGAGGCGAUGAAGGACGUGCUAAUCUGCGAUAAGCGUCGGUAAGGUGAUAUGAACCGUUAUAACCGGCGAUUUCCGAAUGGGGAAACCCAGUGUGAUUCGUCACACUAUCAUUAACUGAAUUCAUAGGUUAAUGAGGCGAACCGGGGGAACUGAAACAUCUAAGUACCCCGAGGAAAAGAAAUCAACCGAGAUUCCCCCAGUAGCGGCGAGCGAACGGGGAGGAGCCCAGAGCCUGAAUCAGUGUGUGUGUUAGUGGAAGCGUCUGGAAAGGCGCGCGAUACAGGGUGACAGCCCCGUACACAAAAAUGCACAUGCUGUGAGCUCGAUGAGUAGGGCGGGACACGUGGUAUCCUGUCUGAAUAUGGGGGGACCAUCCUCCAAGGCUAAAUACUCCUGACUGACCGAUAGUGAACCAGUACCGUGAGGGAAAGGCGAAAAGAACCCCGGCGAGGGGAGUGAAAAAGAACCUGAAACCGUGUACGUACAAGCAGUGGGAGCCUCUUUAUGGGGUGACUGCGUACCUUUUGUAUAAUGGGUCAGCGACUUAUAUUCUGUAGCAAGGUUAACCGAAUAGGGGAGCCGAAGGGAAACCGAGUCUUAACUGGGCGUUAAGUUGCAGGGUAUAGACCCGAAACCCGGUGAUCUAGCCAUGGGCAGGUUGAAGGUUGGGUAACACUAACUGGAGGACCGAACCGACUAAUGUUGAAAAAUUAGCGGAUGACUUGUGGCUGGGGGUGAAAGGCCAAUCAAACCGGGAGAUAGCUGGUUCUCCCCGAAAGCUAUUUAGGUAGCGCCUCGUGAAUUCAUCUCCGGGGGUAGAGCACUGUUUCGGCAAGGGGGUCAUCCCGACUUACCAACCCGAUGCAAACUGCGAAUACCGGAGAAUGUUAUCACGGGAGACACACGGCGGGUGCUAACGUCCGUCGUGAAGAGGGAAACAACCCAGACCGCCAGCUAAGGUCCCAAAGUCAUGGUUAAGUGGGAAACGAUGUGGGAAGGCCCAGACAGCCAGGAUGUUGGCUUAGAAGCAGCCAUCAUUUAAAGAAAGCGUAAUAGCUCACUGGUCGAGUCGGCCUGCGCGGAAGAUGUAACGGGGCUAAACCAUGCACCGAAGCUGCGGCAGCGACGCUUAUGCGUUGUUGGGUAGGGGAGCGUUCUGUAAGCCUGCGAAGGUGUACUGUGAGGUAUGCUGGAGGUAUCAGAAGUGCGAAUGCUGACAUAAGUAACGAUAAAGCGGGUGAAAAGCCCGCUCGCCGGAAGACCAAGGGUUCCUGUCCAACGUUAAUCGGGGCAGGGUGAGUCGACCCCUAAGGCGAGGCCGAAAGGCGUAGUCGAUGGGAAACAGGUUAAUAUUCCUGUACUUGGUGUUACUGCGAAGGGGGGACGGAGAAGGCUAUGUUGGCCGGGCGACGGUUGUCCCGGUUUAAGCGUGUAGGCUGGUUUUCCAGGCAAAUCCGGAAAAUCAAGGCUGAGGCGUGAUGACGAGGCACUACGGUGCUGAAGCAACAAAUGCCCUGCUUCCAGGAAAAGCCUCUAAGCAUCAGGUAACAUCAAAUCGUACCCCAAACCGACACAGGUGGUCAGGUAGAGAAUACCAAGGCGCUUGAGAGAACUCGGGUGAAGGAACUAGGCAAAAUGGUGCCGUAACUUCGGGAGAAGGCACGCUGAUAUGUAGGUGAAGUCCCUUGCGGAUGGAGCUGAAAUCAGUCGAAGAUACCAGCUGGCUGCAACUGUUUAUUAAAAACACAGCACUGUGCAAACACGAAAGUGGACGUAUACGGUGUGACGCCUGCCCGGUGCCGGAAGGUUAAUUGAUGGGGUUAGCGGUAACGCGAAGCUCUUGAUCGAAGCCCCGGUAAACGGCGGCCGUAACUAUAACGGUCCUAAGGUAGCGAAAUUCCUUGUCGGGUAAGUUCCGACCUGCACGAAUGGCGUAAUGAUGGCCAGGCUGUCUCCACCCGAGACUCAGUGAAAUUGAACUCGCUGUGAAGAUGCAGUGUACCCGCGGCAAGACGGAAAGACCCCGUGAACCUUUACUAUAGCUUGACACUGAACAUUGAGCCUUGAUGUGUAGGAUAGGUGGGAGGCUUUGAAGUGUGGACGCCAGUCUGCAUGGAGCCGACCUUGAAAUACCACCCUUUAAUGUUUGAUGUUCUAACGUUGGCCCCUGAUCGGGGUUGCGGACAGUGUCUGGUGGGUAGUUUGACUGGGGCGGUCUCCUCCUAAAGAGUAACGGAGGAGCACGAAGGUUGGCUAAUCCUGGUCGGACAUCAGGAGGUUAGUGCAAUGGCAUAAGCCAGCUUGACUGCGAGCGUGACGGCGCGAGCAGGUGCGAAAGCAGGUCAUAGUGAUCCGGUGGUUCUGAAUGGAAGGGCCAUCGCUCAACGGAUAAAAGGUACUCCGGGGAUAACAGGCUGAUACCGCCCAAGAGUUCAUAUCGACGGCGGUGUUUGGCACCUCGAUGUCGGCUCAUCACAUCCUGGGGCUGAAGUAGGUCCCAAGGGUAUGGCUGUUCGCCAUUUAAAGUGGUACGCGAGCUGGGUUUAGAACGUCGUGAGACAGUUCGGUCCCUAUCUGCCGUGGGCGCUGGAGAACUGAGGGGGGCUGCUCCUAGUACGAGAGGACCGGAGUGGACGCAUCACUGGUGUUCGGGUUGUCAUGCCAAUGGCACUGCCCGGUAGCUAAAUGCGGAAGAGAUAAGUGCUGAAAGCAUCUAAGCACGAAACUUGCCCCGAGAUGAGUUCUCCCUGACUCCCUGAGAGUCCUGAAGGAACGUUGAAGACGACGACGUUGAUAGGCCGGGUGUGUAAGCGCAGCGAUGCGUUGAGCUAACCGGUACUAAUGAACCGUGAGGCUUAACCUU